CGAAUAUUCCGCAAUGCGCGAAAGCGUGACGGAGCAAUGCCGCGUGUGGGAUGAAGCAUCUAGGUGUGUAAACCACUGUCAGGGUUUAGGAAUUUUGACCAGACCCAAAGGAAGAGCCGGCUAACUCUGUGCCAGCAGCCGCGGUAAUACAGAGGGCUCAAGCGUUAAUCGGAAUCACUGGGCUUAAAGGGUCCGCAGGCGGACAAGCAAGUAUCUUGUGAAAUACCAUGGCACAACCAUGGAACUGCUCGGUAAACUGCUUGUCUUGAACACGGUAGGGGCCAUCGGAACUCUAGGUGGAGCGGUGAAAUGCGUAGAUAUCUAGAGGAACGCCAGAGGCGAAGGCGGAUGGCUGGGCCGUUGUUGACGCUCAGGGACGAAAGCAUGGGUAGCG
rnacentral:rRNA from 1 species